rnacentral:ncRNA from 1 species
AGCCGUUCCGAGGGGUGCCCGCAAGGGCUGAGAUGGCUUUCGAAGCCGAACCCGUCGAACCUGAUCCGGGUCAUACCGGCGGAGGGACUGGAACGCGAUCGCAAG